UCUUCCCCGUCUCCGUCUCGGUCCCCGUCCCACACCCUUCCCCUUCAGUCAUCCUCCACUGUCCCCCACAUACUUACAUUCUCUUUUGCUCCAAACUCUCUUCCAUCUCUAAUCUCUCGCUAUAGACAGACACAUACAUACACAAUCUUUUCCAUGUUCACCACCCAACAACCGUCGCCUUAUUAUUGUUAAACAGCAAAGCACUAAUCAUUAAUUCUAUCGGAAACCAUCGUCCUGGGGGCUGGGCAAGAUGUGCAAACUCUUUAUCAAAUUUCGGCAAGGCACAGGGAAAAAAUGCGCCUGCCCCAGCACCAAAACCCAGCAAUGUACUCUCGCCGUCCGCUUCUUCGACCUCCACUCCGGCUGCUCCCCAAUCAUCCCCUUCAAAGUCUUCGGUUUCUUCGUCACCUACCGUCGCCGUUGCUCCUAAAAUUUCACCGGCAUCCAGCCCGUGUAGUGCGCCGGCUCAAACCCCAACAACUACCCCGCCGGCCGUUCCACCUACCAGUGAGGCUACUCCUGUCUCGUCUCCGUCGGUUCCUAUGUCGUCGUCUGACACCUCAGUGAGCGCUCCUGAAUCAUCGACUCGCGGAAUGGUUGAGCAAUUCUCUAGGCUUUUUUCGAUCGACUUUGGGCUCGCUUUCUCAGACCUUAGUACUACUCCCUCCGUCCAACAUAAA
rnacentral:lncRNA from 1 species